rnacentral:tRNA from 1 species
AAAGUUAUAGUCAAAAAUGAUAUUUGAGUUGCAUUCAAAAGGUGCUUAAUCGAGCUAACUUUA